CCCUUAGAUGUCCUGGGCUGCACGCGCGUUACACUGAUGCAUUCAACGAGCUUAUAACCUUGGCCGAGAGGCCUGGGCAAUCUUGUUAACGUGCAUCGUGAUAGGGAUAGAUUAUUGAAAUUACUAAUCUUGAACGAGGAAUUCCUAGUAAACGCAGAUCAUCAAUCUGCAUUGAUUACGUCCCUGCCCUUUGUACACACCGCCCGUCGCACCUACCGAUUGGAUGGUCCGGUGAAGCCUCGGGAUUGUGGUUCUUGCCGCUUUAUUGUGGCGUGACCGCGAGAACUUGUCUAAACCUUAUCAUCUAGAGGAAGGUGAAGUCGUAACA
rnacentral:rRNA from 1 species